CGUAGGGUGCGAGCGUUGCCCGGAUUUAUUGGGCGUAAAGGGCGCGCAGGCGGUACGGCACGUCCGUUGUGAAAUCGCCCGGCUCAACUGGGCGGGGUCAGCGGAUACGGCCGCACUUGAGCAAGCUAGGGGGCAAUGGAAUUCCCGGUGUAGUGGUGGAAUGCGUAGAUAUCGGGAGGAACACCAGUGGCGAAGGCGGUUGCCUGGAGCUUUGCUGACGCUGAGGCGCGAAAGCGUGGGGAGCGAUCCGGAUUAGAUACCCGGGUAGUCCACGCCGUAAACGAUGCGGACUAGGUGUCGGGGGUAUCGACCCCCUCGGCGCCGCAGCUAACGCAUUAAGUCCGCCGCCUGGGGACUACGGCCGCAAGGCUA
rnacentral:rRNA from 1 species